rnacentral:lncRNA from 1 species
GGUGCCGCAAGCGAGAAAAGGAAGAGGCCGCAAGAGAAAAUGGAGAAAAGGAAGACAAUAUCAGAAACUGAAUGUCGCGAAGAGUUUGCGGUUGUAUUUAAAAUGAAAUUGGGCGUCGGUUGCUCCAGACACCGAUGUCUAUAUUCACAUAGACGUCGGUUAUCUCACUAAUAUGACGUCCAAGUUAACAUUUCAAUUGACCUUUUGAAUUUCAUUAGACGUCGGUGUCUAGGGGAGCCGACGUCUAGAAAGUUGAAACGAUUGACGUUUGAUUUCCUGUCAGGGAUGUUGACGACAGUUGUGAUUGGGCGCCGACGUCUAUAAUGAUGAACAUAAUUACUUACAGGCACAUAGACGUCGGGGCCCCUUCUUCCCGACGUCUAUGGCCCUCGAGUUUGGUGAACCUAAUUAAUUACAGGCACAUAGACGUCACUUUCACUGAAACCCGACGUCUAAAUUGAAGAUUUUUUGUCUUCCCGCCUUCCAUUCAGGCCGUAGACGUCGCCUUUUGACUACGCGACGUCUAAGCGCCUGGGAAUUAGGUGAAGAACAUUAAUUGCAGCCCCAUAGACGU